CGUGUGGGCCGGGGUGCCGCUGCGCCAGCGAUGGCGCAGAGGAAAGUCCGGACUCCAAAAAAACUUUUGGGCCGUGGCCCGAAAGGGGCGCCAGGCCAGUUAACGGCUGGGCGGAGCGAUCCGACGGAAAGUGCAACAGAAAAAAUACCGCCUGGCCAUCCAAGGCCGGGCAAGGGUGAAAUGGUGGGGUAAGAGCCCACCGCUGCGGCGGCAACGUUGCAGGCAUGGCAAACCCCCUGGGGAGCAAGACCAAAUAAGCCGGCGAUGCCAUCUGCGCCUUGGCGCUGGUGGGCGAAAGAUUGGCCCGGUCGAGCCGGCGGGUAGGUCGCUAGAGGUGGCAGGCGACUGCCAUCCCAGAGGAAUGGCACCCGACCACAGAAUCCGGCUUAUAGGCCCACCUUGGCC
rnacentral:RNase_P_RNA from 1 species